AUUGAACGCUGGCGGCAGGCCUAACACAUGCAAGUCGAGCGGAUGAAGGGAGCUUGCUCCUGGAUUCAGCGGCGGACGGGUGAGUAAUGCCUAGGAAUCUGCCUGGUAGUGGGGGAUAACGUCCGGAAACGGGCGCUAAUACCGCAUACGUCCUGAGGGAGAAAGUGGGGGAUCUUCGGACCUCACGCUAUCAGAUGAGCCUAGGUCGGAUUAGCUAGUUGGUGGGGUAAAGGCCUACCAAGGCGACGAUCCGUAACUGGUCUGAGAGGAUGAUCAGUCACACUGGAACUGAGACACGGUCCAGACUCCUACGGGAGGCAGCAGUGGGGAAUAUUGGACAGUGGGCGGAAGCCUGAUCCAGCCAUGCCGCGUGUGUGAAGAAGGUCUUCGGAUUGUAAAGCACUUUAAGUUGGGAGGAAGGGCAGUAAGUUAAUACCUUGCUGUUUUGACGUUACCAACAGAAUAAGCACCGGCUAACUUCGUG
rnacentral:rRNA from 1 species